rnacentral:rRNA from 1 species
UAGUGAUCCGGUGGUUCUGAAUGGAAGGGCCAUCGCUCAACGGAUAAAAGGUACUCCGGGGAUAACAGGCUGAUACCGCCCAAGAGUUCAUAUCGACGGCGGUGUUUGGCACCUCGAUGUCGGCUCAUCACAUCCUGGGGCUGAAGUAGGUCCCAAGGGUAUGGCUGUUCGCCAUUUAAAGUGGUACGCGAGCUGGGUUUAGAACGUCGUGAGACAGUUCGGUCCCUAUCUGCCGUGGGCGCUGGAGAAUUGAGGGGGGCUGCUCCUAGUACGAGAGGACCGGAGUGGACGCAUCACUGGUGUUCGGGUUGUCAUGCCAAUGGCACUGCCCGGUAGCUAAAUGCGGAAGAGAUAAGUGCUGAAAGCAUCUAAGCACGAAACUUGCCCCGAGAUGAGUUCUCCCUGAGACCUAGAGUCUCCUGAAGGAACGUUGAAGACGACGACGUUGAUAGGUCGGGUGUGUAAGUGUAGCGAUACAUUGAGCUAACC